ACAGAGGUCUCAAGCGUUGUUCGGAUUCAUUGGGCGUAAAGGGUGCGUAGGUGGCGAAGUAAGUCUGGUGUGAAAUCUCGGGGCUCAACCUCGAAAUUGCAUUGGAUACUGCAUCGCUAGAGGAUUGUAGAGGAGAGUGGAAUUCACGGUGUAGCAGUGAAAUGCGUAGAUAUCGUGAGGAAGACCAGUUGCGAAGGCGACUCUCUGGGCAAUUCCUGACACUGAGGCACGAAGGCCAGGGGAGCAAACGG
rnacentral:rRNA from 1 species